rnacentral:rRNA from 1 species
GAGUUUGAUCAUGGCUCAGGAUGAACGCUAGCGACAGGCUUAACACAUGCAAGUCGAGGGGCAUCACGAAUUUAGCAAUAGUUUGGUGGCGACCGGCGCACGGGUGCGUAACACGUAUACAACCUACCUUUAAUAGAGGGAUAACCUGGAGAAAUUCGGACUAAUACCUCAUAGUAAGAUAUUUAGGCAUCUGGAUAUUUUUAAAGAUUUAUCGAUUAGAGAUGGGUAUGCGUAGGAUUAGCUAGUUGGUAAGGUAACGGCUUACCAAGGCGACGAUCCUUAGGGGUUCUGAGAGGAAGGUCCCCCACACUGGUACUGAGACACGGACCAGACUCCUACGGGAGGCAGCAGUGAGGAAUAUUGGUCAAUGGGCGAGAGCCUGAACCAGCCAAGUCGCGUGAAGGAAGACAGCCUUAUGGGUUGUAAACUUCUUUUGUAGCAGGGGUAAAAGGUUCUUU